CCUACGGGAGGCAGCAGUGAGGAAUAUUGGUCAAUGGGCGCAAGUCUGAACCAGCCAAGUCGCGUGAGGGAUGACGGCCCUAUGGGUUGUAAACUUCUUUUGUCGGGGAGUAAGGCUCGGCACGUGUGCCGGGUAGGAGGGUACCCGAAGAUAAAGCAUCGGCUAACUCGGUGCCAGCAGCGCGGGUAAAACGGGGAAUGCGAGGGUAAUCCGGAUUUAUUGGGUUUAAAGGGUGCGUGGGCGGGAGUUUAGGACGGCGGUAAAAUGUCGGGGCUCAACACCGGACUGCCGUUGAAACUGGUAGUCUUGAGUGAGCGAGAGGUAGGCGGAAUGCGUGGUGUAGCGGUGAAAUGCAUAGAUAUCACGCAGAACCCCGAUUGCGAAGGCAGCAUACCGGCGCGCUACUGACGCUGAGGCACGAAAGUGUGGGGAUCGAACAGGAUUAGAUACCCCUGUAGUC
rnacentral:rRNA from 1 species